rnacentral:pre_miRNA from 1 species
UGGUCAGGAUGCUUGCAGUGCUGUGGCUUGCUCGUCUUAUGACGAGCAAAACUAAAGCUUUCUUAGUAUUGCACUCGUCCCGGCCAGU